rnacentral:tRNA from 1 species
GCGUCAGUGAUCCAACCUGGCUAAGAUACCAGCUUCCCAAGCUGGGUAUCCGGGUUCAAAUCCCGGCUGGCGCA